rnacentral:rRNA from 1 species
ACGGGAGGCAGCAGUGGGGAAUAUUGCACAAUGGGCGCAAGCCUGAUGCAGCGAUGCCGCGUGAGGGAAGAAGGUUUUCGGAUUGUAAACCUCUGUCAUCGGGGACGAUAAUGACUGUACCCGAGAAGGAAGCUCCGGCUAACUACGUGCCAGCAGCCGCGGUAAUACGUAGGGAGCGAGCGUUAUCCGGAAUUACUGGGUGUAAAGGGAGUGUAGGCGGGACUGUAAGUCAGAUGUGAAAUAUACCGGCUCAACUGGUGGCCUGCAUUGGAAACUGCGGUGCUUGAGUGAGGUAGAGGUAAGCGGAAUUCCUAGUGUAGCGGUGAAAUGCGUAGAUAUUAGGAGGAACAUCAGUGGCGAAGGCGGCUUACUGGGCUUUAACUGACGCUGAGGCUCGAAAGCGUGGGGAGCAAACAGGAUUAGAUACCCUGGUA